rnacentral:piRNA from 2 species
UCCUCAAUUAGUACAAAGGUCCAAAAUCA